CCGUGGUUAUGGGUCCACUAAAUAACACUUUAGCCUGCGCGCCCCAAGGAUUGCAGCUCCACGGGGCUCCCCGGAGCAACACCAGGAAGCUUUUCAAAGGUGCCAUUUGUAAGUGUGUGUUUCUGCCACAUACCCAAACGUUGGCUUUAGCGGAUGUUGACUUACCAAUUUUGCAGAAGUGUUUCAAGUUUGGCAUCAAAUUUCAUUCCUACUGCUAAGCGUGCUUCUUAAAACAUUUAUUUUUUUUUAUCUGAAAGCUUUUAUGAAUGUUUGACUCGUGCCUUUUCACUGUUGUGUUUUGAUUUCAUUUUAUUCUCCUCUGUUUUGUGUUUUCCAUUUUCUUUCUUUUUCCGGUAUAAUAUAUAAUAUAUAUAUAUAUAUAUAUAUAUAUAUAUAUAUAUAUAUACAGUUGGGUCAUGUUUUGCCCGCGUAAAAAAAAAAAAAAAAAGUCUCUCGCAACAACACCACACUCGAAACCUCUUUUAUUUGAGAAGACACGACACAAUGUGUCCAGACGGCCGUCACACAGAUGAGUGUUUGACACUGACGUCCACGAGUGCUGCCUGCAGUCUCACCCAUCACACGCACACAAGAAUAGAUAUACAAACGCUGCUCUAUUUCAAAACUUUAUAUAAACAGGGAAUACAUAUUAAGGUGUUCCGCAGUAAAGAUAUUGGCACUCACAGUAUUUACUUACUUUCUAAUAAUACACUGUACAUUUUACAAGAUUACGCCAGCCUUGCAUUUAUCUUUUUUUAAACCAUGUCACAACCUUUUGCACCAGGACAGUAAAGGAAUUGUGCAAGCCUGUAAAGCAAACUAAAAUACAACAGAUAGCUGUCCACACUUGUAAACAUUCAUUCAUAGUUUCCGAAACCAAUAUGUUCAACUUCUGGGUCAAAGAUGAAGUCUCAGAAUGUGGACACAGACACAGAAGCUGCCCCACGUGUCCAACAUUUCGACACAGUCUCUUCUUCAUCUGCUAAACCUCGGCAACACUCACCGCAGCACUAUUUUGAAAACUGACCCUUUUUUUUUUUUUGCGUGGCUGACUCAUGUUCGAAGCCGUUGUUUUACACACACACGCGCACACACACACACACACACUCAAACACGUGACAACAACAACAAAACAAAUAUGACAAAAAGAGGCAUUCCUUGUUAUAUCAGCACACAAGGCAAAAAUUUAAUCUUUGGUUUUAUGUCCCUGAUAUGAAUUUUCACCUUUGCCUAUGCCUCGUGGUCAAAAAUGUUAAGAAUAAAAAAAAUAUAAUAGGGUUUGAAUUCCAGUUUAUUUCCAAAAUGAUCUCCUAAGAAGUUUCCCCGGAAAGAGACAUUAAAUUAGGUGCCACUUAAUUCAUUCCAUUAACCUUCCUCUGCACGGAAAGUCAAUAAUUACACCAACUCAACAAAAAAAAAACACGUUGCCUCAACUCGUUUAUCCCCUCAACUAGUAUAAAAACCACUCGUUUCUCUCCAGGGAUCGUUCAAUAACUUAUCAGGAAAUAACGGAGCCAGUUCAAAUAAAAACAGGAGCGUGAGGACGAGACUUUUGGACAAGGAAGGCAGGGAUGAGAGGAUGAGAGGAUGAGAGGAGGAGAGGAGGAGAGGAUGAGAGGAGGAGAGGAUGAGAGGAUGAGAGGAGGAGAGGAUGAGAGGAGGAGAGGAGGAGAGGAUGAGAGGAUGAGAGGAUGACAGGAGGAGAGGAUGAGAGGAGGAGAGGAGGAGAGGAGGAGAAGAUGAGAGGAGGAGAGGAUGAGAGGAGGAGAGGAUGAGAGGAUGAGAGGAUGACAGGAGGAGAGGAUGAGAAGAUGAGAGGAGGAGAGGAGGAGAGGAUGAGAGGAGGAGAGGAGGAGAGGAUGAGAGGAGG
ensembl:lncRNA